rnacentral:lncRNA from 1 species
GUCACAGCCCCACCAAUUCCCAGUGGCUGCUGCAGUUCGGCGUCCAGCUCUACAAUUCUUGAAAGAUGAAAGAAAGAGAAGUCCCUAAGCAGAAACUACAAGGGCCAAGCAGAAGAUUAUACCAUGUAAGGACAUCAUCUGUCCCUGGACUCUAAACGGAAGAUCAUGCAAAUAGUGGACUGAAGUCAUCCCAGCCUUCAAAAGAGCCACCGUCGGGGGGGAAAUAACAGAAAGGGAUAAAAAGCUGUCUUUCGUAACCCAAUCUGUAUCUUUCUGUGUGACUUCCCUAUCCUGCCUGUCCUAACGCCCUCUCGGCCGUAAACACUCAUAGAGUAGAAACAGAGCAUAGAAAUGAAGAAGAGGAAGAGGGGGAAAAAAUGGAGGAAACGCACAAGUUGUGUGUGUCUACAACUAGCAGAGAACAACUCCAACGUGUCUCUGAUACAGCUGGAGGAAGGGAUGCAACAAACUCAGGAACCAAAAUGCCUUGCACAAGAAACAAGACAGAGGGAAGCUUCUGGAGGAUAGAGAGCUUCUGGAGGAUAGAGAGCUUCAGCACAUUAAGAAACAGACUAAUUGGGCAGGACUUCUGAUCCCUGCCGUGAACAAUGAUGUGGAUAUGCUGCCAGAAAGCUGCAGGUAUGAACUGUUUCCAUGCUGCCAACUACCUUAAAUGAGCACUUGAAAACUAUGUUUUCUAUAACAAUCUGAAGGAAUUUCUUCUGCUUUGGAAACAAGUGUCCCAUAGUAACUUGGGACACACACCCUUGAUUGUGUGACCAACUUACCUAAAGCAAAAAUUCAAGGAAGAACUACUUCAUUAUGAAUGGGUCAUUCAUACAAUCCAUUCUCUCAUUCACUUGUGGAUCAUGACAUAAGCUGUUCAUCAGGCUCUGCGCGUGCUUAGGGACGGUUGUCUUGGAAGUGGUGAGCCUCUCCACCCCUCCAUUGCCUGUUGGAAAAGGAGGGUGACUGUCACUGAGGCAGCAGGCAAAUACAUUUCCCCCAGCC